UACGUAGGGUGCGAGCGUUAAUCGGAAUUACUGGGCGUAAAGCGUGCGCAGGCGGUUUUGUAAGCCAGAUGGGAAAGCCCCGGGCUUAACCUGGGAAUGGCAUUUGGGACUGCAAGGCUGGAGUGUGGCAGAGGAGACUGGAAUUCCUGGUGUAGCAGUGAAAUGCGCAGAUAUCGGGAAGAACACCCGUGGCGAAGGCGGUUCUCUGGGACGGUACUGACGCUGAGACGCGAAAGCGUGGGGAGCGAACAGG
rnacentral:rRNA from 1 species